GAGGAGGAGGAGGAGGAGGAGGAGGAGGAGGUGGGGUGGAGGUGGUGGGAGGUGGAGGUGUGGGCGGAGGGGUAUUGCUUUGUGUCUGCAGUACAGAGAUCAUUGUCCCUGUGUCUCUUCUGCAGGAGAGGUCAAAGGUCGGAGCCACGGGUCGAAGGUCGGAGCCAGGGCUCCCGGCCUUCCGGAAAGAGGUUCACAUCGGAGGAAGCACCGGUUCGUAGAAAGUUGUGCACGCGAUGGAGAGGACGAGGAGGAGAUGAUGAAGAGGAGGAAGAAGAGGAAAAGGAGAUGAGGAGGAGGAGAUGAUGAUGAGGAGGAGGAGGAGUUGAGAAGGAAGAAGAGAUGAGGAGGAGAUGAGGAAGAAGAGGAGGGAAAAAAAACAGGAAAGCAGGAGAAGGAAACCCUCCUGAGACCAUCGAGAUCUGAGUUCAUGACGUGUUUCUCUCGCCUUGACCCCGUUUAAAGUCUUCCAGAAGUGUAAAAAUUCUAGGACCAAUCAGCACUCGGGGAUGGGAGUUUCAGCUCUUGAAGAACAAGGAGCACCGCGAUUAAAGAAACAAUGGAGAAGUUUGAGGAAAGUGUCACUUACAAAUCAGAUUUUAAAAGAAAUACACAAAAAUGAAUCUAUACGGUGGGCUUUUUCUCGGAUCUGAAUUUGUUUUUGUUCUUUGUCCAACCGACUUCGCAGAGCAAAGAGCAUCACUCUGAUUGGCCGGUGUUCUUGAAGCAACCUUAGGCCGCAGCCGUAUCUGUGACUCUACUGCUGCCCAGCCAGGCUGACAGACGUGAACAUCAGGAUGGUCUCACAAGGCGAGUGAAAGGAGAGAGUGUAAAAACAAGUUCCACACAAGAGAGGAGAGAGUGUGGAUGAGAGUGGAGGAGGAGGAGGUGGAGGAAGAGGGGAGGAGCGAGGGGAGCGGAGGGCGAGGUUGUGGUGGGGGACACUAACACUAAAGCCAUGCAAAGAAAAGCUCCUGUUUGACAUGCACACAGCAAUACAAGCUAAAAGCAAAGAGCAGGAAGAGGAGAGCGUCAGCGCCGCCGUCUAUUGACCCAGCGAGUGGCGAGCGCCCUCCGGUGGUCUAACACAGCAUCGUAAUAUGAACGUGGCAAAGCCUCGUAUGCCCGCCUCGUCAAUGAGAGGCUACGUCUACAUUCGAAAAUAAACUGGUAAAUCAUUAUUUAACAUCCCUCACUCCCUCCCGACAGAUAAGACAACUCUUCUUGUUCGCGUCGAUAAAAUGUACAAGGAAGAGAAUCAGGAACGCUGGUUCAUAUCAUCGGAGCCGUCAGACAAAAGAAACAGUAAAAUAAAAACAGUUAUUUUUCUUUGCCCCGUUAAUGAACACACGAGAAUAUAAUAAAUAACAUUCAACUGACCUAACAGCUUCUUUUAUAUAAAUAGUCAAGUUAUAAUAAAUUAGGGGAUCAAACUGUGGGGGGUGAUGAUUGAAGGUGAAUAAGGAAAAUAAAAAUAAAUGAUUCAAAUAUGUACAAAAAUAUCGACAACUUCAUUUUCUUUUUUUUACACAAUUCCCGUUAAGUCGUUUCCUUGGUGGUCCACUGCUGGUUGGUGAGAGCGAGACAGAAAUAAGGGACAGAAGUGACCACACAUAGCGAGAGGAGCUGAUUAGUUGGUCGAUCCAACAAAAGCCAUUUACCACAAUGUACUGUAAAAAAACCUCAAAAUGAAAAGGAGGAAAACAACAAAGAUGGAAUCGGGCCUAUAGCAUGUCAGGCGCAGGGGAUUUUGUGUGAUAUAUUUUUUAGUAUUCUUUUUUUUUUGUAAACCUGGCCCUAAUGAUAAGGUAUAUCUAAACAUGGCGUCACAGCUACACAUUUAAAUUUUCAUUUUUUUUUUAUACAAACAAAACAAUAUAAGUCUGUACAGAUCAUCAGAAUAGAUCAUUCAUGUUCAGGGGCCCACCCAUUACAUCCCCACCCCACCCCACCCGCCCCUCCCCUCCCACAAUCCUUUGCAGUCGUUUAGGGUUGUUGUGGUGGUUGGGUUUGUGGUUGUUGUUGUUGUCGUUGUUGUGGUCAUUGGUUGUUGUUUACUCACAUCCAUCACCAAUCUAAUCAAUUCUGCUCCAUGUUCUCUUCCAGAUGAAAAUACAUUAAAAAGCAAAUAACCCAAUCCACAGAGUGUCCGAGUUCAAGUGCCCCCCAUGCCUCUCUCUCCCUCUCGCUUGAAUGGUUCUAGUGUGUUCUCCAGAGAGUGUGUGUGAGUUUGUGUUUGUGUGUGCGUGUGUGUGUGUGUGUGUUUGCUUCAGUGUGUGUGUGCGUGUGUGUGUGUGUGUGUGUGUGUGUGUGUGUGUGUGUGUGUGUGUGUGUGUGUGUGUGUGUGUGUGUGUGUGUGUGUGUGUGUGUGUGUGUGUGUGUGUGUGUGUGUGUGUGUGUGUGUGUGUGUAGACUGUAGAUGUGUGACAUGUGGGCGGUGGCAUGGAGGAAUAGUCCGAGACAAUCGGAAAAACAAGAAAAGCCUUUUGGUUAACUAUAACAUCUGUUUGUGUGUGUGUGUGCUUGUUUGUGUGUGUGUGAAGCUGAGUAUAGAAGGUGUAUGUGGGUACAGAGAAGCGGAGUAAGGUGGGGUGGGGGGGGGGACAGGUGGAGCCCUGAGUGGAGGGGAGUGGUCCAUUUCCAUGGUAACCACCACCCCAUCACCCAAGGUGUUCCGGGGGAAUUAUUACGACAACCAUAAGGUUUGGGUGCCCCCGGCCCCACCGGCCACAGCUGUCCAUCGAUUGGUUGGAAGCAGAGGGAGGGAGGAGAGGGAGGGAGGAGAAGGAGGAGCAGCAGCAGGAGGAGAAGGAGGAGCAGCAGCAGCAGCAGGAGGAGGAGAAGUAGGAGGGGCUUAGUAGCUUUUCUGGAUGAUACCUGGGGGGGGGGCGGGAGAACAAGUGAGGUCAUCAAACAGAGGAGCAGCACGCGGUGUGGAGAAACGGUUUGUUACGGGGCGGGAGUGGAGGUGGUGGAGGUGAAGAUGGAGGGUGAGACGGGGUGCAGCACGGUGCAUAGAGACGGGUUGUCA
ensembl:lncRNA